UACGUAGGGUGCGAGCGUUAAUCGGAAUUACUGGGCGUAACGAGUGCGUAGGCGGUUCUUUGUGUCCGCUGUGAAAGCCCCGGGCUUAACCUGGGAAUGGCAGUGGAAACUAGAGAACUUGAAUCUGGCAGAGGGGGGUGGAAUGCCACGUGUAGCAGUGAAAUGCGUAGAUAUGUGGCGGAACACCGAUGGCGAAGGCAGCCCCCUGGGCUGAGAUUGACGCUCAGGCACGAAAGCGUGGGGAGCAAACAGG
rnacentral:rRNA from 1 species